rnacentral:rRNA from 1 species
AACGAACGCUGGCGGCGCGCUUAACACAUGCAAGUCGAGCGGUCUGGGGGCAACUCCAGGCAGCGGCGGACGGGUGCGUAACACGUGGAUAAUCUGCCCUAGAGACGGGGAUAACCAGCCGAAAGGUUAGCUAAUACCCGGUAAGCUCACGGACCCGAAGGGGUCAGGGAGAAAAGUCGCAAGACGCUCUAGGAUGAGUCCGCGGCCCAUCAGGUAGUUGGCGGGGUAAAGGCCCACCAAGCCUACGACGGGUAGCUGGUCUGAGAGGACGACCAGCCACACUGGAACUGAGACACGGUCCAGACUCCUACGGGAGGCAGCAGUGGGGAAUCUUGCGCAAUGGGCGAAAGCCUGACGCAGCGACGCCGCGUGUGCGAUGAAGGUCUUCGGAUCGUAAAGCACUGUCGCCCGGGAAAAAGAAAGUGAUGGUACCGGGAGAGGAAGCACCGGCUAACUCUGUGCCAGCAGCCGCGGUAAU